GCGUCGGUGGUGCAUUGGUUCAGCACGUUGUUCUCGAUUGGGUGAAAUGUGGGUUCGAAUCCCACUUGACGCA